GACGAACGCUGGCGGCGUGCCUAAUACAUGCAAGUCGAACGCUGAAGGAGGAGCUUGCUUCUCUGGAUGAGUUGCGAACGGGUGAGUAACGCGUAGGUAACCUGCCUGGUAGCGGGGGAUAACUAUUGGAAACGAUAGCUAAUACCGCAUAAGAGUAGAUGUCGCAUGACAUUUGCUUAAAAGGUGCAAUUGCAUCACUACCAGAUGGACCUGCGUUGUAUUAGCUAGUUGGUGAGGUAACGGCUCACCAAGGCAACGAUACAUAGCCGACCUGAGAGGGGGAUCGGCCACACUGGGACUGAGACACGGCCCAGACUCCCACGGGAGGCAGCAGUAGGGGAUCUUCGGCAAUGGACGGAAGUCUGACCGGGCAACGCCGCGUGAGUGAAGAAGGGUUUCGGAUCGUAAAGCUCUGUUGUAAGAGAAGAACGAGUGUGAGAGUGGAAAGUUCACACUGUGACGGUAUCUUACCAGAAAGGGACGGCUAACUACGUG
rnacentral:rRNA from 1 species